AUUUCUUUUCUGUGUGAUGUUAAAUAUGUAAAAGAAGAGACUAGAGAGAAUGCAAUUUGUCCCCCACAUUUGGACCAUGCAUUACAAUCCAAAGAUGAUCAUGAGGAACAUGAUGGUGUCCUCAUGCCUCAGAAGAUGCACCAGCUAUUAUAUACGUUAGAGAAGGAGCAGAGCAUCUACAACACAGUAUUUCAUGAACUUACUCGACAAGUCAGUGUGGAUGUGCAGAUAGAAAAGAGCUACUGUCCAAAAUCAGAGAACUGUGUCUGGUUCAGUCACAUUAUAUGGAAUUAACAAAGAAACAGAGAAAGCCCACAAGGAUUUGGCACAAGCUGUUUUAGAUGCUGAAAAGAAUGCCAGGUGGAAAGAAAAUAAAACCUGUUUUUUCCCUGGGAGCAU